rnacentral:rRNA from 1 species
UACGAAGGGGGCUAGCGUUGCUCGGAAUCACUGGGCGUAAAGGGUGCGUAGGCGGGUUUUUAAGUCAGAGGUGAAAUCCUGGAGCUACCAACGUCCAGAACUGGCCUUUUGAUUACUGAGAAUCUUGAGUUCGGGAGGAGGUGAGUGGGAACUGCGAGUGUAGAGGUGAAAUUCGUAGAUAUUCGCAAGAACACCAGUGGCGAAGGCGGCUCACUGGCCCGAUACUACGCUGAGGCACGAAAGCGUGGGGAGCAAACAGG